GAUGAACGCUGGCGGCGUGCCUAAUACAUGCAAGUCGAGCGAACAGACGAGGAGCUUGCUCCUCUGACGUUAGCGGCGGACGGGUGAGUAACACGUGGAUAACCUACCUAUAAGACUGGGAUAACUUCGGGAAACCGGAGCUAAUACCGGAUAAUAUAUUGAACCGCAUGGUUCAAUAGUGAAAGACGGUUUUGCUGUCACUUAUAGAUGGAUCCGCGCCGCAUUAGCUAGUUGGUAAGGUAACGGCUUACCAAGGCGACGAUGCGUAGCCGACCUGAGAGGGUGAUCGGCCAAAUUGUAACUGAGACACGGUCCAGACUCCUACGGGAGGCAGCAGUAGGGAAUCUUCCGCAAUGGGCGAAAGCCUGACGGAGCAACGCCGCGUGAGUGAUGAAAGGCUUCGGAUCGUAAAACUCUGUUAUGAGGGAAGAACAAAUGUGUAAGUAACUAUGCACGUCUUGACGGUACCUAAUCAGAAAGCCACGGCUAACUACGU
rnacentral:rRNA from 1 species